CAGGUUGAAGGUUGGGUAACACUAACUGGAGGACCGAACCGACUAAUGUUGAAAAAUUAGCGGAUGACUUGUGGCUGGGGGUGAAAGGCCAAUCAAACCGGGAGAUAGCUGGUUCUCCCCGAAAGCUAUUUAGGUAGCGCCUCGUGAAUUCAUCUCCGGGGGUAGAGCACUGUUUCGGCAAGGGGGUCAUCCCGACUUACCAACCCGAUGCAAACUGCGAAUACCGGAGAAUGUUAUCACGGGAGACACACGGCGGGUGCUAACGUCCGUCGUGAAGAGGGAAACAACCCAGACCGCCAGCUAAGGUCCCAAAGUCAUGGUUAAGUGGGAAACGAUGUGGGAAGGCCCAGACAGCCAGGAUGUUGGCUUAGAAGCAGCCAUCAUUUAAAGAAAGCGUAAUAGCUCACUGGUCGAGUCGGCCUGCGCGGAAGAUGUAACGGGGCUAAACCAUGCACCGAAGCUGCGGCAGCGACACUAUGUGUUGUUGGGUAGGGGAGCGUUCUGUAAGCCUGUGAAGGUGUACUGUGAGGUAUGCUGGAGGUAUCAGAAGUGCGAAUGCUGACAUAAGUAACGAUAAAGCGGGUGAAAAGCCCGCUCGCCGGAAGACCAAGGGUUCCUGUCCAACGUUAAUCGGGGCAGGGUGAGUCGACCCCUAAGGCGAGGCCGAAAGGCGUAGUCGAUGGGAAACAGGUUAAUAUUCCUGUACUUGGUGUUACUGCGAAGGGGGGACGGAGAAGGCUAUGUUGGCCGGGCGACGGUUGUCCCGGUUUAAGCGUGUAGGCUGGUUUUCCAGGCAAAUCCGGAAAAUCAAGGCUGAGGCGUGAUGACGAGGCACUACGGUGCUGAAGCAACAAAUGCCCUGCUUCCAGGAAAAGCCUCUAAGCAUCAGGUAACAUCAAAUCGUACCCCAAACCGACACAGGUGGUCAGGUAGAGAAUACCAAGGCGCUUGAGAGAACUCGGGUGAAGGAACUAGGCAAAAUGGUGCCGUAACUUCGGGAGAAGGCACGCUGAUAUGUAGGUGAAGCGACUUGCUCGUGGAGCUGAAAUCAGUCGAAGAUACCAGCUGGCUGCAACUGUUUAUUAAAAACACAGCACUGUGCAAACACGAAAGUGGACGUAUACGGUGUGACGCCUGCCCGGUGCCGGAAGGUUAAUUGAUGGGGUUAGCGGUAACGCGAAGCUCUUGAUCGAAGCCCCGGUAAACGGCGGCCGUAACUAUAACGGUCCUAAGGUAGCGAAAUUCCUUGUCGGGUAAGUUCCGACCUGCACGAAUGGCGUAAUGAUGGCCAGGCUGUCUCCACCCGAGACUCAGUGAAAUUGAACUCGCUGUGAAGAUGCAGUGUACCCGCGGCAAGACGGAAAGACCCCGUGAACCUUUACUAUAGCUUGACACUGAACAUUGAGCCUUGAUGUGUAGGAUAGGUGGGAGGCUUUGAAGUGUGGACGCCAGUCUGCAUGGAGCCGGCCUUGAAAUACCACCCUUUAAUGUUUGAUGUUCUAACGUUGGCCCCUGAUCGGGGUUGCGGACAGUGUCUGGUGGGUAGUUUGACUGGGGCGGUCUCCUCCUAAAGAGUAACGGAGGAGCACGAAGGUUGGCUAAUCCUGGUCGGACAUCAGGAGGUUAGUGCAAUGGCAUAAGCCAGCUUGACUGCGAGCGUGACGGCGCGAGCAGGUGCGAAAGCAGGUCAUAGUGAUCCGGUGGUUCUGAAUGGAAGGGCCAUCGCUCAACGGAUAAAAGGUACUCCGGGGAUAACAGGCUGAUACCGCCCAAGAGUUCAUAUCGACGGCGGUGUUUGGCACCUCGAUGUCGGCUCAUCACAUCCUGGGGCUGAAGUAGGUCCCAAGGGUAUGGCUGUUCGCCAUUUAAAGUGGUACGCGAGCUGGGUUUAGAACGUCGUGAGACAGUUCGGUCCCUAUCUGCCGUGGGCGCUGGAGAACUGAGGGGGGCUGCUCCUAGUACGAGAGGACCGGAGUGGACGCAUCACUGGUGUUCGGGUUGUCAUGCCAAUGGCACUGCCCGGUAGCUAAAUGCGGAAGAGAUAAGUGCUGAAAGCAUCUAAGCACGAAACUUGCCCCGAGAUGAGUUCUCCCUGAGACUUAGAGUCUCCUGAAGGAACGUUGAAGACGACGACGUUGAUAGGCCGGGUGUGUAAGCGCAGCGAUGCGUUGAGCUAACCGGUACUAAUGAACCGUGAGGCUUAACCUUACAACGCCGAAG
rnacentral:rRNA from 1 species